GCCUCAUAUGCAAGCUGUUCUUGUCAACCUUGUCUCCUAUUUUAGGUUGUAAAAAUGUUGAAGUAUUUCUAAACUACAUUUAUGUGUAUAUAAUAUUAUUGCUUUGAUUGCUGUGAAUUAAGUUACUCACCGUUUCACCUUUAGCUACUGCCUUUCAUAGGCUUCCAUUUGUACAGAAGCCCAGUUUUUAAGUAGAACCUACCUUACCUAGCUCUUAUUCAGACUUUUUUCACAUGUUAACGACAGUAUAUUGAAUAACCUUCAGACAGAACAGGGUGGACUGACAGAGUGAACAAUGGGAACUUUUGUCUUGUCUUGCUGGAAUUGCAGUGAUGAUUUUUUCACACAGGUAAUUUGAGACAGGUUGGUGAAUGGUAUACACUUUUUAAAAAUCAGAAACAUGUAAAUAAAUGUUAUGUAUGUUAUAGCAAACAAAUUGACUUCAAGAAUUUUUUUCAAAGGAACCCAGAAUACAUGAUCAGCCUGUUGAAAUCUGUGAAGAUCUUUCCCAGCUUGCCGGUUUUAUAUUGCUGUUAGAACCUGAGUUAAAAGUCAAGCUGACAAAUUGAUUUGGCAGGAUUUUCUCCUCUAUGAACGUACUGGAAGUACUUUAUCUGGCCUGUAGACUUAAGUUACCAGUUUUUUUUAGUAAGGUUUGAUGCAUUUGAAAAGGUGCUCCAGGAGUCUCUUUCUUACCAGUUGUUAAUAUGGCCAUAAUGAAGCUGUUGAAAGCUUUUAAUCUGCUUGAUACAGAUGAACAACUACCUUAGUUUUUCUAGGGAUAAUUUUUGAUGAUAGUGAUAGUAACAUAAGCAUGUUACUAUUAAAUAUCAGUUUCUAAGCUGUGGGAAUUGGACUUGUAACUGAAUAUCCACUCCAGCAUUUGAAGCUCAUGAUUUCAUGUUGUCUGGAAAUAAUAGAUGUUAGUCAGGUAAGGUGUUUUGUUUUUUGCCAGUGUUUAAUAACUCUAAGAGGCUUGGUUCAUAGGGAUAUUGAAAUAUAAGUCACUGUUUUGCCUUCAUGUACUGAUGUAUUCCGUCAACAUAUAAUUGAAUCACUUCAGAUGGUACACAUUUCUAGGUUGAACUUCCACAUAGUCAUCACUGAUGUUUAUUUUCACCAGGUGCUGCUGAUUUUUUUUUUUUUUUUUUCUCCUGGUAACUUAUAGCUGAAUUGUGCCGUGACUAGUGCCUAGUAGCAUCUUCCUAAGAGUACAGCAAGACCAGUUAGCGGUGUGAUUUGAGACCAGAAUGGGUAAAACAGCUAAGAACCCAAAAGCAUGAGUAUUUUUUUCUUGUAAAAAUGUUCUUAUGACCUUUCUCAUCCAUGGGAAUAAAUUAAACCAGUGAGAACA
rnacentral:lncRNA from 1 species